ACCAUUUUAGGUGUCUGGUUCGAUCAAACAGAAGGAGGAGGGCGACCCCCACUCUCAAAACCCUAGCAACUCACUAAUCUCACAAAUUGAAGGCUCAAACCAAGUUAAAAUCGAAAAUCGAGCAUAGAUUAUUGAUCCCCAUUGCAAAGGGGUUGUAAGUUUGACUCUGACAAGCUAGGUAGGAGCUUGGAAAUGAACGGGUCAAAUGGAUACAAGUUCAAGUAUGAAGCUCGCAAGGAUGCAAGGAGUAGAUAUCCAAUGGAUACUCACAUCGCUCUUAAUUAGCAAUUAUAAAGCAAGGUAUUAAACCGGGUACAUUUUGGAUGCCGGAAGAUGAUCAAGCUCAUUGGAGAACCGAACACGAUAAAGAUACAUGCUUCCGCACAGUGUCCCGUCGUAAAUUUUAAACCCAUAUUUUUAUAGUAUGUGUAGUCUUAUCUACACAACUAAAUGUUGGUAAUUAUAUUUAAAACCGUUAAAUAGUAAUUAAGGUGUUACAGGUAA